rnacentral:rRNA from 1 species
GACGAACGCUGGCGGCGUGCCUAACACAUGCAAGUCGAACGGACCAAUGUUUGACACUGAGAGUUUUCCAACCUGCUCUUCAGUGAGGGACAGCGUGACGCGAACGAAGAGAGCGUCUACGCGUUAAAAAAAGUGCCAACACAACUAUUAGGAAAGAGAAUUUUCAGUGUCGGACAUUGGUUAGUGGCGGACGGGUGAGUAACGCGUGGGUGACCUGCCCAUAAGUGGGGAAUAACAGUUGGAAACGACUGCUAAUACCGCAUAAGCUGAGCAAUCAGUAAAGGAGGCUAACGCUUCCGCUUAUGGAUGGGCCCGCGUCUGAUUAGCUAGUUGGUGGGGUAAUGGCCUACCAAGGCAACGAUCAGUAGCCGGCCUGAGAGGGUGGACGGCCACACUGGGACUGAGACACGGCCCAGACUCCUACGGGAGGCAGCAGUGGGGAAUAUUGCGCAAUGGGGGAAACCCUGACGCAGCGACGCCGCGUGAGCGAAGAAGGCCUUAGGGUACG